GAAAGAAAUGGUCUGGUUUGUUCAGCAGCAGAAGGAGCUGCAUGAAUCCCUGUGCCUGUGCUUCAGGCUGGGCUGGUGCCUCUGUCCAAAUUCACCCUGGACCAAAGCUUUCCUCUGUCUGGACAAUUUCAAAACUGGAGGGAGGACAGUAAGGCAGAUUAGC